AGUAUGUCGUCUGAGCUUGUAAAGUGUUGGAAGUCUCUCUCUCUCUCUCGUGUUUUGACCUAAAGAUGGGAUUGACAGAGUCAUGGCGGGCUGUCUUUAGGGUUUCUUCGCUGAAGUUGCAAGCGCUUUGAAUCCUUUUGAUCUUUGAAUUAGUUUUAAUCUGCAAAGAGAGUCGGUAGUUCUUUCUAAAGGAUUUUAAGGUUGUAACCAGUAAGGACUCUACAAUGCGUGCACCAUCACUGUUUGCUCAGUGCCUACCUGGUCUGGUGCCUCAUGACCGUUCAAGUCACUUCUCUUCAAUUUGGGAAAGGGAUGUGCAUCCACCAUCACCAGCAGUUGAAAUUCUCCCUUCAAAGACGGCUCACCCAUACAAGUAUGCUAGCGAGAAUGUGGAUUUGAAUGGGCUCAAUAUCUUCAAGGGAAGAGUUAGUGUUGCCGAUAUUAUUGGAUUCACAAAUUCAGAAACUAUAUCUUCAAAGUCUGAAGGGUCAGUAAAAGUUUGGGAUAGGUCUAUUGAUCUUGUUAAUGUUCUCAAGCAUGAAAUUCGUGAUGGACAGCUUAGUUUUAGAGGAAAACGAGUUCUAGAGCCGUAGUCCGGUGAGUCCAUGGCUCCCGUCAUCUCUCCCUUCUUCUCCGUUGGUCAGACUCUGGACCCUUCUUCUCCGUUUGUCAAUCGAAGAAAACUCAGAGAAAAAUAGGAAGAGAAGGUCAUCGGAAGUCGUCGGAAGUCAAGAAAGGUUAAUCCCAGGUCGUCGGAAGUCGGGCUCGGGCAUCGACAGUAGCAAGCAGGUAUAGUAGCAUCUCUUUUAUAUAUUUUUCUGUUCUUCCUUUUUUCUAUCAGAACUCAGAAGACUCUCAAGUCCGGUCCCCGUAGACUUACAGUCGUCGCUUGUGAAGGAAAGGAAGGAGCCAGUACCAAUUAACCGGCAAUCGGAGGUAGAGAACCGGUCGAAACCGAUAUCAGAUCAGUGUUCAAGUCCUUGUUAGUUAAAUAUUAUGGUGGAAUCGGGCUUGAUGUUGAGGAGAUCUUAGAACGUUGGAGGAACUUGUUCGUCGAGCAGCAUUUGCAGUAGUGGGUCUUCGUUGAGUAGCUGUUGAGGUUCAAAGAGAUCGAUCAGGUACUCUCUCUCUCUCUCUCUCUCUCUCUCUACUCUUCUUCUUCCUCUCGUUCUCUGAAUCAGCAUCUUUUAGAUGUGAUUUUGGGUAAAAAACAAAAGUAAAUCGAAAACCCUUAACCAUGGCUCGACUCUCUUCUUCGUUACAUCAGAACAUUGGUGGAACUUGUUCGUCGAGCAACAUCUGCGGCAGUGUGUCUUCGUCGAGUAGCUGUUGUAGAGGUUCAAAGAGAUCGAAGGUUUUGUAAUUAAUCAGUAAAUUCAAGGCCUAUUGAUUUAGACAUCAGGAUUUGGUGUACAUCAGGAUGAACUCUAUGAUGAGGGAGAACUAUGAAAGCCAACUACAUAAAGAUUCAAGGCCUAUUGAUUUAGACAAUCUUGGUGACUUACCUAUAGUAGACUUUGAGCUUGAAAUGGAGAGGCUUGAGCAAACGUACGAGGAACCUGAACCAUCUGACACUGGAGCUGAUGGAGGAUCUACUUCAUAUAGUUUAAUGUCUCCUCAUUGAUCUUUUUUUUUUUUUUAAUCAUUGAUCUUUGGACCUGUUAUAAUGAUACUGAGUUCUUUAGACAUCUUGGAUGAUAU